rnacentral:lncRNA from 1 species
AAAAGACCAACAUCAAAGAGGCGGCAAGAAUUUGGUCAAGAUGACGAGUACAAUUCAUGAGCUAAAAUUAUCAACAAUAAUGUCAUGCAUGGCCUUCAAGGCCUGUAGGUUCUGCCGUGGGAAAAAUCCCAUCAUCGAAUUAACUAUAAAUAAAUCAGUAAUUCUUUUAUUAAAAAUGUCUUUAGCAAUCUAGUGCUCCCAAAAUCAAGUUAGACAGCUAGGUACCACAUUAAUUCUCUGAGGUAAAAAAGGGCAUCUUGUGUAAUAUGCACAUCAGCACAUAUAAUCUCUAGCAAGCAACUUUAUACUCUCUUCAUUCAUAGGAAAGAAAGAAAAAAAUCAAUGGAAAUGUUAGUGUGUUUAUGAAUAAAUGAG